rnacentral:rRNA from 1 species
GGACGAACGCUGGCGGCGUGCCUAAUACAUGCAAGUCGAACGGUCUUUCUAUGGAAGCUUGCUUCCACUGAGAAGAUAGUGGCGAACGGGUGAGUAACACGUGGGUAACCUGCCCAUAAGAGGGGGAUAACAUCCGGAAACGGGUGCUAAUACCGCAUAGUUUUCUUGAUCGCAUGAUUGAGAAAGGAAAGACGGCCUUUGUGCUGUCGCUUAUGGAUGGACCCGCGGCGUAUUAGUUAGUUGGUGAGGUAACGGCUCACCAAGACGAUGAUACGUAGCCGACCUGAGAGGGUGAUCGGCCACAUUGGGACUGAGACACGGCCCAAACUCCUACGGGAGGCAGCAGUAGGGAAUCUUCCGCAAUGGACGAAAGUCUGACGGAGCAACGCCGCGUGAGUGAAGAAAGGGUUUUCGGAUCGUAAAACUCUGUUGUCAGAGAAGAACAAGUUGGAGAGUAACUGCUCCAGCCUUGACGGUAUCUGACCAGAAAGCCACGGCUAACUACGUGCCAGCAGCGGC